UACGGAGGGUGCAAGCGUUGUUCGGAAUUACUGGGCGUAAAGCGCGCGCAGGCGGGUUGGUAAGUCGAUUGUGAAAGCCCAGGGCUUAACCUUGGAAUUGCAGUCGAAACUACCAAUCUUGAAUACCUGAGAGGGUGGGAGAAUUCCUGGUGUAGAAGUGAAAUUCGUAGAUAUCAGGAGGAAUACCGGAGGCGAAGGCGCCUACCUGGCAGUGUAUUGACGCUGAGGCGCGAAAGCGUGGGGAGCAAACAGG
rnacentral:rRNA from 1 species